UGUGGUCAUCGAGUAAGCAAAUAAAUAAGCCCUUAAUCAUGUCUAUGAAUUCGAGCAUGAAGAUUGUAGUUGCUCUCUUGUUCACAUUGCUUGCAACUCCAACAACUGAUGCUUUCUUCUUUGAUUUACCAUGCAUACCCCUUCCUCCAUUUUUGCAGCGAUUAAUCAUCAUUAAUAUUCCCAUAUUUUGUCCAGUUUCGCCAACGGUGUUUCCGCUAACGCCACCAGUGGUAACGCUGCCGCUGACGCCACCAGUGGUAACGCUGCCGCUGCCGCUGACGCCACCAGUGGUAACGCUGCCGACGCCAUAGCUGCUGCCUGUAAUACCCGCUUCUUCCUUGGUUUUUUUUUUUCGGUUGAUGCUAAUGUCAAAUUAGAGAGUUUUGCUCUCAUGUUCCGUUUAAGUUUAAUAAAACCCGUUGCCUUUUUGCCUUGAGUAUUCGUGGGGCUAGUUUCGCAAAACCGAAAGUAAAUGAAAUAAACGAACAAACUAAAACAAAUUUAAGGAAAUGUCCAAGAAAUAAAAGGAACAUAAUAACAAGAAUACAAUGAUAUUGUAAAGUGCUCGAGAACAAGUACACUAAUCUCUAUAUGAUCGUUACACGCGUAAUUCGCGAAUAGAAGGAAACAUGCGGAACACUACUCUUUUCCAAGUAUCUACGAAUGGGCCAAAGAACUAGGGAAACAAGAAAUUCUUCAACACUUGGGGCCUUCCUUUCGAGCCCAUGUCGCACUCCACAAGUGCCCGUAUUGGUCAGCCCCCUAGCCAGGGCAGCGAGCCCCCGUCCCGAGACUACUAUGUGGCAGCCCAAGACAAAAAGGAGUUAUUAACUAAUGUACCAUGAGGCCAUGUAGGAUCAAAGAUGUUGUUAAGUCAAACCCCUUGUACCAUAAGAACAAACAAGAAGCUUAAAUGCCAAGUACCAAGUGCCACAACAUAACACCAAAACAACUGAAUGUAAAGUGCUGCAAAAUCAUAGAAAAGGAGAUAUGCUAUAGCAUAAAAACAAAGGAGAAGUCAGCCUCAUUUAUUUCAGCCAAGUACACUACUUGCUGCCUAUAAAAGCCCCCUCCACACCAUUUUCAACACCCAAGUUUCACACACCACAAGAAGGGUAGCGAGAGGGGAUGAGGAGCAGCAAGCGGCGGCAGCGGCAAGAGGAGCAGCCGCACAACCGAGAGAAAUUACCAAGUGAGGAAUUUUGCCCGAGGGCAGAGCGAUGCCAACACAAGUAAUUAAAUUGAGGAAUAAGCAAAUCAGGUUGAACGUGAUUGAGGCGACGAAGGUGUUGGGAAAAGAUCGUUAAUAAGUAGUUAGGUAGCCCAAGGUAGUAUGUCCUCAUACAUACUAUGUUGUCUUGGAACCUUCCGCUGCAUUAGAAUUUUGUUCUAGGAACUUGUAAAUUUGGCUUUGCUACUAUGAUUCUGAUCUGACUUUGCACCCAUUCGCCUUCAAGACUAUUCCCUCGAGUUAACUAUUUCCUUU